UGUAUUAGUUUUCUUUAUACAGGGAAAUGAUUUUUACCAAAGCAUGCUUUUUGGGAUUUGGGGUUUUUACACAUUUUCACUGGCAUAUACAUAUUUUCUAGCUUUGGGAAAAAAUAAGGGAAGAGAUCUGGGUAUUCUUGGGAGAUUACUAAAAAAGGGGGGAGACAACGUAUAAGGAAUAGAAUUUUGGAUCUUUGGACUUAUUAUCUUGUAAUUAUUGUUUUUCUUCUUUUACAAAAGGAGGGAGGCAUCAAAUCUGUAGUAAAUUCCUCCUAAGUAGAAGUCAUCUAGGGGCAUAUCUAUCUUGGUGGGGGCCAACUGCGAGGAAAGAACAAAAAAAAGGGGACCUCCCUCUGAGAGAACAAAGAACUACCUAAAGAAGAGGGUGAUGAGUGUUGAUUUCCAGAUGAUUGUGAUGAACAAUAUCCAAAAAAGGUGUGUGACUCGAUGUGUAUGCAAAGUGUAUGAAUAAAAAUCAUAUGAGGAGCUCCCUAAGGAAGGUGCAAGAUCCAAAGGUGGUGCUAUUAAGAUAUUGAUAGAUGAAUGAUUAGAUUACGCAACAAGGAUAUUAUGCAGUAUAAGGUCCAGUAAGACCAUUAUUCUAUGGAUAGUGCCACAUGGGAGAAUGUUGAGGAUAUUGAGAAAUAUUUUCCAUAUUUGAUAUCAUAGAAUUUUCUAUAUAUAGAUAUACUUUGAUGUGUGUAUUUUAUAUGACAUCAAGAUGAUGCCUCUUCCUAGUCAGGAAGGAUGUCACAACCCUGAAUUUUAUUGGACAUAAUUAUUAUUAAUAUUUUGGACAUAAGGUGACAUAAGUAAAAUUGUAAUUAAUAUAUAUUGGUUGUUCACUUUAUAAUUAUUUUGAAUUUAGAUGA